rnacentral:rRNA from 1 species
CAUGCAAGUCGAACGGCAGCAUGAUCUAGCUGCUAGAUUGAUGGCGAGUGGCGAACGGGUGAGUAAUACAUCGGAACGUGCCCUGUAGUGGGGGAUAACUAGUCGAAAGAUUAGCUAAUACCGCAUACGACCUGAGGGUGAAAGUGGGGGACCGCAAGGCCUCAUGCUAUAGGAGCGGCCGAUGUCUGAUUAGCUAGUUGGUGGGGUAAAGGCCCACCAAGGCGACGAUCAGUAGCUGGUCUGAGAGGACGAUCAGCCACACUGGGACUGAGACACGGCCCAGACUCCUACGGGAGGCAGCAGUGGGGAAUUUUGGACAAUGGGCGAAAGCCUGAUCCAGCAAUGCCGCGUGUGUGAAGAAGGCCUUCGGGUUGUAAAGCACUUUUGUCCGGAAAGAAAUGGCUCUGGUUAAUACCUAGGGUCGAUGACGGUACCGGAAGAAUAAGGACCGGCUAACUACGUGCCAGCAGCCGCGGUAAUACGUAGGGUCCAAGCGUUAAUCGGAAUUACUGGGCGUAAAGCGUGCGCAGGCGGUUGUGCAAGACCGAUGUGAAAUCCCCGAGCUUAACUUGGGAAUUGCAUUGGUGACUGCACGGCUAGAGUGUGUCAGAGGGGGGUAGAAUUCCACGUGUAGCAGUGAAAUGCGUAGAGAUGUGGAGGAAUACCGAUGGCGAAGGCAGCCCCCUGGGAUAACACUGACGCUCAUGCACGAAAGCGUGGGGAGCAAACAGGAUUAGAUACCCUGGUAGUCCACGCCCUAAACGAUGUCAACUAGUUGUUGGGGAUUCAUUUCCUUAGUAACGUAGCUAACGCGUGAAGUUGACCGCCUGGGGAGUACGGUCGCAAGAUUAAAACUCAAAGGAAUUGACGGGGACCCGCACAAGCGGUGGAUGAUGUGGAUUAAUUCGAUGCAACGCGAAAAACCUUACCUACCCUUGACAUGCCACUAACGAAGCAGAGAUGCAUUAGGUGCUCGAAAGAGAAAGUGGACACAGGUGCU